GUGGAGAAUCUUGCACAAUGGGGGAAACCCUGAUGCAGCAACGCCGCGUGAAGGAAGACGGCCCUUGGGUUGUAAACUUCUGUUCUAAGGGAAGAUAGUGACGGUACCUUAGGAGCAAGUCCCGGCUAACUACGUGCCAGCAGCCGCGGUAAUACGUAGGGGGCGAGCGUUAUCCGGAAUUAUUGGGCGUAAAGAGUACGUAGGUGGUUUCCUAAGCAUGGGGUUUAAGGCAACGGCUUAACCAUUGUUCGCCCCAUGAACUGGGUUACUUGAGUGCUGGAGGGGAAAGCGGAAUUCCUAGUGUAGCGGUGAAAUGCGUAGAUAUUAGGAGGAACACCGGUGGCGAAGGCGGCUUUCUGGACAGUAACUGACACUGAGGUACGAAAGUGUGGGGAGCAAACAGGAUUAGAAACCCUAGUAGUCC
rnacentral:rRNA from 1 species